UACAGAGGCCUCGAGCGUUAGGCGGAAUCACUGGGCUUAAAGCGUGUGUAGGUGGAUGCCUAAGUACCUUGUGAAAUCCCAUGGCUCAACCAUGGAACUGCUGGGCAUACUGGCGGUCUUGAGUCACCCAGGGGCUGUCGGAACAAAUGGUGGAGCGGUGAAAUGCGUAGAUAUCUGCAGGAACACCCGUGGCGAAAGCGGCGCGCUGGACCACUACUGACGCUGAGGAACGAAAGCUAGGGGAGCAAACAGG
rnacentral:rRNA from 1 species